GAUGAACGCUGGCGGCGUGCCUAAUACAUGCAAGUCGAGCGAACGUACGAGAAGCUUGCUUCUCUGAUUUUAGCGGCGGACGGGUGAGUAACACGUGGAUAACCUACCUAUAAGACUGGUAUAACUUCGCGAAACCGGAGCUAAUACCGGAUAAUAUUUUGAACCUCAUGGUUCAAACGUGAAAGACGGUCUUGCUGUCACUUAUAGAUGGAUCCGCGCUGCAUUAGCUAGUUGGUAAGGUAACGGCUUACCAAGGCAACUAUGGAUAGCCGACAUGAGAGGGUGGACGAGCACACUGGAACAGAGACACGGUACAGACUCCUACGGGAAGAAGCAGUAGGAAAUCUUCCGCAAUGGGCGAAAGCCUGACGGAGCAAAGCCGCGUGAGGGAUGAAGGACUUCGGAUCGGAAAACUCUGUUAGUAGGGAAAAACAUAUGUGUAAGUAACUGUGCACAUAUUGACGGUACCUAAUCAGAAAGCCACGGCUAACUACGUG
rnacentral:rRNA from 1 species